rnacentral:rRNA from 1 species
CAGUCGCCGCGGGAAUACGAAGGGGGCUAGCGUUGUUCGGAUUUACCGGGCGUAAAGCGCACGUAGGCGGACUUUUAAGUCAGGGGUGAAAUCCCGGGGCUCAACCCCGGAACUGCCUUUGAUACUGGAAGUCUUGAGUAUGGUAGAGGUGAGUGGAAUUCCGAGUGUAGAGGUGAAAUUCGUAGAUAUUCGGAGGAACACCAGUGGCGAAGGCGGCUCACUGGACCAUUACUGACGCUGAGGUGCGAAAGCGUGGGGAGCAAACAGGAUUAGAGACCCCUGUAGUCCCUGUCUCUUAUAC